UGGGGAAUAUUGGACAAUGGGCGAAAGCCUGAUCCAGCCAUGCCGCGUGUGUGAAGAAGGUCUUCGGAUUGUAAAGCACUUUAAGUUGGGAGGAAGGGCAGUAAGUUAAUACCUUGCUGUUUUGACGUUACCGACAGAAUAAGCACCGGCUAACUCUGUGCCAGCAGCCGCGGUAAUACAGAGGGUGCAAGCGUUAAUCGGAAUUACUGGGCGUAAAGCGCGCGUAGGUGGUGUGUUAAGUUGGAUGUGAAAGCCCCGGGCUCAACCUGGGAACUGCAUCCAAAACUGGCAAGCUAGAGUACGGUAGAGGGUGGUGGAAUUUCCUGUGUAGCGGUGAAAUGCGUAGAUAUAGGAAGGAACACCAGUGGCGAAGGCGACCACCUGGACUGAUACUGACACUGAGGUGCGAAAGCGUGGGGAGCAAACA
rnacentral:rRNA from 1 species